rnacentral:rRNA from 1 species
GAUGAACGCUGGCGGCGUGCCUAAUACAUGCAAGUCGAGCGAACGGACGAGAAGCUUGCUUCUCUGAUGUUAGCGGCGGACGGGUGAGUAACACGUGGAUAACCUACCUAUAAGACUGGGAUAACUUCGGGAAACCGGAGCUAAUACCGGAUAAUAUAUUGAACCGCAUGGUUCAAUAGUGAAAGACGGUCUUGCUGUCACUUAUAGAUGGAUCCGCGCUGCAUUAGCUAGUUGGUAAGGUAACGGCUUACCAAGGCAACGAUGCGUAGCCGACCUGAGAGGGUGAUCGGCCACACUGGAACUGAGACACGGUCCAGACUCCUACGGGAGGCAGCAGUAGGGAAUCUUCCGCAAUGGGCGAAAGCCUGACGGAGCAACGCCGCGUGAGUGAUGAAGGUCUUCGGAUCGUAAAACUCUGUUAUUAGGGAAGAACAAAUGUGUAAGUAACUAUGCACAUCUUGACGGUACCUAAUCAGAAAGCCACGGCUAACUACGUG